rfam:Beta vulgaris subsp. vulgaris contig138618.1, whole genome shotgun sequence.
GCCGACAUAGCUCAGUUGGGAGAGCGUACGACUGAAGAUCGUAAGGUCGCGUGUUCGAUCCACGCUGGUGGCA